rnacentral:rRNA from 1 species
AGAGUUUGAUCCUGGCUCAGAAUGAACGCUGGCGGCGUGCCUAACACAUACAAGUCGGAUGUGCCCGCAAGGGUGCAUGGCAGACGGGUGAGUAACGCGUGGGGAAUCUACCUUUUUGUGGGGAAUAACGUUCCGAAAGGAAUGGUAAUACCGCAUGUGAUCGUGGUUUGGGAUAGCCACGAUGAAAGCUGGGGACCGUAAGGCCUAGCGCAAGAAGAGGAUCCUGCGUCUGAUUAGCUAGUUGGUGAGGUAAUGGCCCACCAAGGCGACGAUCAGUAGCCGGCCUGAGAGGGUGAUCGGCCACACUGGAACUGAGACACGGUCCAGACUCCUACGGGAGGCAGCAGUGGGGAAUUUUGCGCAACGGACGAAAGUCUGACGCAGCAACGCCGCGUGGGUGAUGAAGGUCUUCGGAUCGUAAAACCCUGUCGUCAGGGACGAAGUGUUGAGGCCUAAUACGUCUUAACAUUGACGGUACCUGGAGAGGAAGCCCCGGCUAACUCUGUGCCAGCAGCCGCGGUAAUACAGAGGGGGCAAGCGUUAUUCGGAAUUAUUGGGCGUAAAGGGCGCGUAGGCGGUUUUUUAAGUCAGAUGUGCAAUCCCCGAGCUUAACUUGGGAACUGCAUCUGAGACUGGAAGACUCGAGUGCUGGAGAGGGUGGUAGAAUUCCACGUGUAGCGGUGAAAUGCGUAGAGAUGUGGAGGAAUACCAGUGGCGAAGGCGGCCACCUGGACAGUAACUGACGCUGAGGCGCGAAAGUGUGGGUAGCAAACAGGAUUAGAUACCCUGGUAGUCCACGCCCUAAACGAUGCGAACUGGACGUUGGGCACACUUAGGUGCUCAGUGUCGAAGCUAACGCGUUAAGUUCGCCGCCUGGGGAGUACGGUCGCAAGACUGAAACUCAAAGGAAUUGACGGGGGCCCGCACAAGCGGUGGAGUAUGUGGUUUAAUUCGAUGCAACGCGAAGAACCUUACCUGGCCUUGACAUGUCCGGAAUCCUGCAGAGAUGCGGGAGUGCCUUCGGGAAUCGGAACACAGGUGCUGCAUGGCUGUCGUCAGCUCGUGUCGUGAGAUGUUGGGUUAAGUCCCGCAACGAGCGCAACCCUUGUCCUUAGUUGCCAGCGAGUAAUGUCGGGAACUCUAAGGAGACUGCCGGUGACAAACCGGAGGAAGGUGGGGAUGACGUCAAGUCAUCAUGGCCCUUACGGCCAGGGCUACACACGUACUACAAUGGUCGGUACAGAGGGUUGCAAUACCGCGAGGUGGAGCCAAUCCCAGAAAGCCGAUCUCAGUCCGGAUCGGAGUCUGCAACUCGACUCCGUGAAGUCGGAAUCGCUAGUAAUCGCGAAUCAGCAUUGUCGCGGUGAAUACGUUCCCGGGCCUUGUACACACCGCCCGUCACACCAUGGGAGUGGGUUGCUCCAGAAGCAGGUAGCGUAACCGUAAGGAGCGCGCUUGCCACGGAGUGGUUCAUGACUGGGGUGAAGUCGUAACAAGGUAACC